ACGGCGAGUGAAGCAGGCAACAGCUCAAAUUUGAAAUCUGGCGCAAGCCCGAGUUGUAAUUUGUAGAGGAUGCUUCUGGGCAGCGGCCGGUCUAAGUUCCUUGGAACAGGACGUCAUAGAGGGUGAGAAUCCCGUAUGUGACCGGCUGGCACCCUCCACGUAGCUCCUUCGACGAGUCGAGUUGUUUGGGAAUGCAGCUCUAAAUGGGAGGUAAAUUUCUUCUAAAGCUAAAUACCGGCCAGAGACCGAUAGCGCACAAGUAGAGUGAUCGAAAGAUGAAAAGCACUUUGGAAAGAGAGUUAAAAAGCACGUGAAAUUGUUGAAAGGGAAGCGCUUGCGACCAGACUUGUCGGCGGUGUUCCGCCGGUCUUCUGACCGGUUUACUCGCCGUCGGCAGGCCAGCAUCAUCUGGGGCCGCCGGAUAAAGGCUUUGGGAAUGUAGCUCCCCUCGGGGAGUGUUAUAGCCCUUUGCACAAUACGGCGCGUCCCGGGUGAGGUCCGCGUCUCGGCAAGGAUGCUGGCGUAAUGGUCGUAAGCGGCCCGUCUUGAAACACGGACCAAGGAGUCGAUUAUCUAUGCGAGUGUUCGGGCGUCAAACCCCUACGCGUAAUGAAAGUGAACGGAGGUGGGAACCCUUACGGGUGCACCAUCGACCGAUCCGGAUGUCUUCGGAUGGAUUUGAGUAAGAGCAUAGCUAAUCGGACCCGAAAGAUGGUGAACUAUGCCUGAAUAGGGUGAAGCCAGAGGAAACUCUGGUGGAGGCUCGCAGCGGUUCUGACGUGCAAAUCGAUCGUCAAAUUUGGGUAUAGGGGCGAAAGACUAAUCGAA
rnacentral:rRNA from 1 species